rnacentral:rRNA from 1 species
GAUGAACGCUGGCGGCGUGCCUAAUACAUGCAAGUCGAGCGAACAGACGAGGAGCUUGCUCCUCAGACGUUAGCGGCGGACGGGUGAGUAACACGUGGAUAACCUACCUAUAAGACUGGGAUAACUUCGGGAAACCGGAGCUAAUACCGGAUAAUAUAUUGAACCGCAUGGUUCAAUAGUGAAAGACGGUUUUGCUGUCACUUAUAGAUGGAUCCGCGCCGCAUUAGCUAGUUGGUAAGGUAACGGCUUACCAAGGCAACGAUGCGUAGCCGACCUGAGAGGGUGGUCGGCCACACUGGAACUGAGACACGGUCAAGACUCUUACGGGAGGCAGCAGUAGGGAAUGUUCCGCAAUGGGCGAAAGCCUGACGGAGCAACGCCGCGUGAGUGAUGAAGGUCUUCGGAUCGUAAAACUCUGUUAUUAGGGAAGAACAAAUGUGUAAGUAACUAUGCACGUAUUGACGGUACCUAAUCAGAAAGCCACGGCUAACUACGUG